rnacentral:rRNA from 1 species
GCAAGUACGGUGCGGCAGCCGCGGUAAUACGUAGGGGGCGGGGGUUGGCCGGAAUUAUUGGGCGUAAAGGGCUCGUAGGCGGUGUGUCGCGUCGGCCGUGAGAACCUUGGGCUUAACUCGGGGCGUGCGGUCGAUACGGGCAUCACUUGAGUGCGGCAGGGGAGACUGGAAUUCCUGGUGUAGCGGUGAAAUGCGCAGAUAUCAGGAGGAACACCGGUGGCGAAGGCGGGUCUCUGGGUCGAUACUGACGCUGAGGAGCGAAAGCAUGGGUAGCGAACAGGAUUAGAUACCCCUGUAGUC